rnacentral:rRNA from 1 species
UACGAAGGGGGCUAGCGUUAAUCGGAAUUACUGGGCGUAAAGCGUGCGCAGGCGGUGAUGUAAGACAGUUGUGAAAUCCCCGAGCUCAACCUGGGAACUGCAUCUGUGACUGCAUCGCUGGAGUGCGGCAGAGGGGGAUGGAAUUCCGCGUGUAGCAGUGAAAUGCGUAGAUAUGCGGAGGAACACCGAUGGCGAAGGCAAUCCCCUGGGCCUGCACUGACGCUCAUGCACGAAAGCGUGGGGAGCAAACAGG